GGCCAGGUAGCUCAGUUGGUAGAGCAGUAGACUGAAGAUCUUCGUGUCGGGGGUUCGAUUCCCUCUCUGGCCACCA
rnacentral:tRNA from 1 species